GCCUACGGGUGGCUGCAGCUACGAAAACUUUACACUACGCGAAAGCGUGAUAAGGGGAUUCUACGUGCCCAUGCUUAGCAUGGGCUUUUGCCAAGAGUAAAGACCUUGGCGAAUAAGUGGUGGGCAAGACCAGUGCCAGCAGCCGCGGUAAUCCCGGCGCCACGAGUGGGGGCCGCUAUUAUUGGGCCUAAAGCGUCCGUAGCCGGUUCGGUCUAUCCCCUGUGAAAUCGUGGGUCUCAAGCUCACGGCGUGCAGGGGACACUGCCGAACUAGAGACCGGGAGGGGUCAGAGGUAUUCCGGGGGGAGCGGUAAAAUGCUAUAAUCCCCGGAAGACCACCUGUGGCGAAGGCGCCUGACUAGAACGGAUCUGACGGUGAGGGACGAAAGCCAGGGGAGCAAUCCGGAUUAGAUACCCUUGUAGUC
rnacentral:rRNA from 1 species